UCUUCUUCUUUUUGUUGAGUGGUUUUCAUGUAGUGAAUCUUUUCCUUGAUCUGUUGAUGCAGUUUUAGAGAUUAUGUUUUUGAUCAGGUUGUUGCCCUUGUUCGGGAAACUUGUGCUCAAGCACUAGGUGCCACACUAAGUACAUGCAUCCUUCACUAGUUCAUGAAACACUGAAUAUAUUACUACAUAUGCAAGUAAUGAUUAUGAAGGAAGUGGUAGUACAAGAAUGGGAAAUUUGUCAUGGAACCCUUUUGGGGAUCAAAUAUUUGGUUGUUGUUCGAAGGUCAUGGAAAAAGGGAUCUCCACUUUUAGCAGAGCUAAACCAAAGUCUGCCGCUUCCCUAAAGCGAGGUUGCACUAGCCAAGACUUGGUACAAUGUACCCCUAAUCAACUCCCUCGUGCUUUACUUAGGCAUGCAAGUAACCCUUUCUUUGCGCCAUCUCUAGCUCUGGGUCCACUAAGUUCUUCAAGCAUGUGAAAGAGGACAAAUUUUAAAACUCUUUUAUGUUCAGCAUGGCUAGUAGGAGAAAAAAAUACCCUAAUAUUCUAGAAUUGAAGAAAAUCUUCUGAAAUAAUGAAACAACUUAUUAUUUCUUCCCAAAAGGACACUAUUAAACCUUUUAAAUUAGUCAGCUGUAUCAGAUGCACCUCCAACAUUGAACUUAAAGAGUAUUGUUUUACGAGGCAGAAGGCAUGCAUUAAAAGGUGAUGUAAAUGGCCUUCAAUAUCUGCCAAUUAUCACCAAUUAUAAUG